rnacentral:lncRNA from 1 species
UAUUUAAAGAAUAAUAUAUAUAUAGAGCUAGUCUCCUACACUAUUUAUAUUAUCGGGGCUAUAUUACAGUCUCGUUUUCGAUCUUAGGAUGUUCAAAUCAACGAUCCACAUCGUUAAAAUUGAUGUAGGGUAUUUAAAUUUUUAGAAAUAAAAUUUUAUAUUUUUUCGACAUAGUUUACUUUAUGAUCAAACUAUUUCAAAAUUAUUAAUUUUCAAUGGCUACUAUGGUGAGUUUGAAGUUUAAUGGUGUAGAAGAAUCUAAAUUUCUUCAAAUUUUGAUAGAAAAUAUUUUAAACUAUUUAGGUUAAGGUUAACAUUCUUGAUCUUGAAUUUAAAAGUCCUAUACUCAAAUUAUAAAAUUUAGUUUUCAAAUACUUUUAGUAGUGUAAAUCAAGUCUAACGGAACCGAUCGUCGAUUUGGAAGCCACAUCAUUGAAAACAACUUGGUAGCACGGAGGCCUCCGUACUACCGAUAGUAUACCAGCCUAGCUCUCUCUCUCUCUCUCUCUCUCAUCCAUCUCUUUCUCGGUUGAUGAUUACCCGAAACUUCACAAGUCAUCUCCUCUGGCAUAAAAAGUGAAUAGGAUACGUAGCCCCUCUACUCCUAUCCUCUCUAUAUAUCUAUAUAUAUAUAUAUAUAUAUAUAGAGUUGAGCUAGAAUACUAUCGAUAACAAAUAGGCUCCGUUGCCACCCAUUUGUUUUCGAUAAUAGAGCCUCCAAAUCGACGAUCGGUACCGUUGAACGUGAUCUAUACCACUUAAAGUGUUUAGAAAUAAAAAUUGAAAUCUUUUCGACAUCAUUUGCCUAAUAAUCGAAAGGUUUCAAAUUUUGUAAUUUUAAUGAUCGAUAUGAGACGUUUUCUCGUUUAACGGUGUAAAGAUAUCCAAAUUAAUUAAAUUUUUGUUAGAAAAUUCUUUAAACUAUUUAAAACAAGAUCUAUACUCUUGAUCUUGAUUACAAGACUCCUAUCAUCAUUUUUUAAAGAAUAUUUAUUUUCAGCCGUUCAUUUUUGUGUCCACUCGAUGGAUAAGAGAACAAUGUUGAAAUUGUAUGAAAUUUGAUUCCUAAACACUUCAAGUGAUAUAGAUCAUAUUCAACGGUGCCGAUCGUCGAUUUGAAGGCUCCAUCAUCGAAAACAAAUGGGUGGCAACGGAGCCCGUUUGCUAUCGAUAGUAUUCUAUCUCAACUCUAUAUAUAUAUAUAUGGAGUAGGGCUACUAUACUCUUAUGAGUAUAGAGCUCUUCGUACUCAUAAGUUGUUUUCGAUGUUGGGGUUUUCGAAUCGACGAUCCACACCAUUAAACAUGAUCUAGAGUAUUUGAAACUUUUAGAAAAUAAAUUUCAUAAUUUUUCGAAAUCAUUAUAAAGUCCAUCAAGCGGGUAUAAAAUGAAUGGUCAAAAUCAAACGACAUACUAAAAAUGGAUGAUCAGAUCUUUCAAUUUAAGAUCGGAGUUAUUGAUCUUUAUUUAGGUAGUGAAUAGAAUUUUCUAUCAAAAAUUCAACCUAUUCCGAUUGUUUUUCACCAUUAAACUAGCAAAUAUUCCAUACCGGCCGUUAAAAAUUGUCAAUUUUGUAAGCUUUUGAUCGUAGGGUAAAUGAUAUCGAAAAAUUAUAAAAUUUAAUUUCUAGAAGUUUUAAAUGCUCUAGAUAAUGUUUAACGGUAUGGAUCGUCGAUUCGAAAGCUCUAUCAUCGAAAACAACUUAUGAGUACGAAGACGAUCGUACUCAUAAAAGUAUAGUAGCCGGACUAUAUAUAUAUA